rnacentral:lncRNA from 1 species
ACGAAUCUGAGUUACUUUGCAAGGUCAUGAGGCUGUCAAGAGCUGAGCCGAGCUAGGACACCAGGUAAGGCCCUCCUUCCUGUCACUUACUGGCUUUGCCUCUCCAUCACCCAAAUCAGUGACCACUCCCUGACCAUCUGUUCUCUGGAGGGCCAAAGCCAGUAAGUUAGUGGACAGAGCUCAUGGCGUCUGGGAGCUUUCAGGCUGGAUGGGGCAAUGUGCCAGUUGUGUACACCUGGCUACAAUGUGACGCCGUGCUGGGUGCGCACCGUGUGACGGCACAGGCCACAGUGCUGAGCCCUUCAGGAUGCAAGAGACAAUAAGGACCAAAAUAUGUAGGUGUGGUAACUGCCAGAACCCCCGCCCUCCCAUGCUAACCCUGAGGUACACACAUACACGUACACAUAUGUAUGCACACACAGCAGCCUGCGGGCCUGGGCACGAAGUCCUGCCGGCCGGGGCGGGGUGCAGAGAGAGCGCACCUGUCAGGCCGCGGAGCUGCCAGCGCUCCCCCUCCCCCAGCCCCGCAGGCGCCCGCGCCCCCUCCCCGCACAUCUAUUUAUAUCGCUCUACCAGCCCGGUCCUUAUUGGGCAGCGCCUGCCGUUUCGGUGCCAUCGCGGAGGCCCCAGCAGAGGACUGUGUCCGCGCCCGAAGAGCCGGCAGCCUUCCCCUAUGCCAAAAAAUUCAACAGGGUGGCUUGGUUCUUGCCUGAAAGAUAUCAAAUCCUAGGUUGUGGUCACAACAGUUGGCUCCCCAGCAUCUCCUUUCUUCCUAGAACAUCAAGAUCAACACCUCAGGAACUGAUUAGUCUGAACUACCUGCACUGUGUUAGGUCAUAUGGUCCUCUCUGGAAGAUGAUCUUGGCCCUCUAGCAUUGUAGGUAUUGGUACCUUGGGAGGGUUUCUGUGUAUCAGUACAAGUGGAUAGAAAAUCUUAAAAUAAUUAUUUCCUUACAAGAACGAUUUAUCCUUUUUAGCUUAAAAUAACAGCCCCCAUCUAUAAAGUUGAUUAAUGUGUUUAUGUAUAAAGAAGGCUGCAUAAUAUGAUUUGGACUAAUCAUAAUGUGUUGUAGAAAAGCUCAGAAAUGUAAUGAUCUUUUAAUUACCCAUAGCUGGAUUCUCAAUAAAUCUAAACCAAAUAAAGCA